rnacentral:tRNA from 1 species
ACCCGACUGGCUCAGUCAGUAGAGCACGUGACUCUUAAUCUCAGGGUCCUGAGUUUAAGUCCCAAGUUGGGUG